GCUGAUCAGAUUGCACGGUAGAGACUUCCUGUACUGGCCCGAUUUUUUUACGUUGUUGCCGAGAGAGCGCUUGCUGUUCCUGUUGAGGACACACUUCGAGACUUACAUGCCUUCAGAUGGGCAGGACGAGCUUGUAAAAGCUGUUAAGAACCGAGAGGUCGAUAAUGUCUACGCGAUCAUCCGCCAGGCUUACCAGGAUUUCAACGAAUUUACAAGUGCGUCGCUCGGCGUAGAUUGCAACUUUAACUUUUUUGUCAUAGACGCAAAUGGAGACAGG